rnacentral:rRNA from 1 species
AUUGAACGCUGGCGGCAGGCCUAACACAUGCAAGUCGAGCGGAUGAAGGGAGUUUGCUCCUGGAUUCAGCGGCGGACGGGUGAGUACUGCCUAGGAAUCUGCAUGGUAGUGGGGGAUAACGUCCGGCAACGGGCGCUAAUACCGCAUACGUCCUGAGGGAGAAAGUGGGUGAUCUUCGGACCUCACGCUAUCAGAUGAGCCUAGGUCGGAUUAGCAAGUUGGUGGGGUAAAGGCCUACCAAGGCGACGAUCCGUAACUGGUCUGAGAGGUUGAUCAGUCACACUGGAACUGAGACACGGUCCAGACUCCUACGGUAGGCAGCAGUGAGGAAUAUUGGACAAUUGACGAAAGCCUGAUCCAGCCAUGCCGCGUGUGUGAAGAGGGUCUUCGGAUUGUAAAGCACUUUAAGUUGGGAGGAAGGGCAGUAAGUUGAUACCUUGCUUUUUUGACGUUACCAACAGAAUAAGCACCGGCUAACUUCGUG